AACAUAUAAGACCUAACAAUAUAAAAAGUCAGACAAAAAAUUAAAAAAGAGAAAAGUGAAUGCAAAAUAAAAAAAGUAUGAGAAUUUAAAACCGCAAAUAAGAAAUGAAAGAAAAUUUGUGGAAAAAAACAAAAGAAAAGCAAGAAAAAAAUAAAAAUGAAAAGGCAAAAAUUUGGAAUAAAAAACAGAAAAAUAAAAAUUUUUAAAACAACGAAAAAAUAAAAACAAGUAAAAAUGAAAGCAUAUGAAAAAAAAAUCAAAAAGAAGGCAAAAUUAUGAAGGGAAAAAGUUAUUAAAAAAUUACAAAGUCGAAACAAAAU
rnacentral:lncRNA from 1 species